rnacentral:tRNA from 1 species
CACCAAGAAGCUGUACCAGCACUAGCCUUUUAAGUUAGAGAUAGGGAGCAUUAUACUCUCCUUGGUGG